UUUGUGGGGAGGCACAGAUGAGCAAAUUGAGAAGAGAGGGGGCUCAGCUAGCUCGGAGACAACCAAGCCUCAGUCUUAAUGCUCAACUCUGGUCUUAACCCUCAGCCUGCAGCUGCGUUCCAAGCAGAUAGCGAUUCAAGCAGCAGUCUGACCCCCAAGGCUACAGAUGACAAAAGACUCAGAAAGACAAAUUAAAAGGGGUGCCUGGUGCCCAAGGAGGCCAGAAGAGGGCAUCAGAUCCCCUUGGACUGGAGUUACAGAUGGUUGCCAGCUGCCAAGAGGAUGCUGGGAACUGAACCUGUGUCCACUAGAAGAGCAGCCUGUGUGCUUAACCACUGAUCCAUCUCUUCCAUGGGCCUCCUUAGGAUGGUGUUUCUCUAUGUUGUUCAAGCUAGACUCCACCUUCUGGGCCCAACAGACCCUUCUAAGCACAGGCUACCACAGAGGCUGUGAAGUUCAACAGACCCAACCUUCCUGCAGUGUGCAGGAUGAAACCUACGGCCAUACCUUCGCUGGGCAAGUGCUCCACGCUGGACUUUACCAUCUCUGAAGUGUAGCGCCAGAAUUCAGGCCUCAGACUUUGUUU
rnacentral:lncRNA from 1 species